UCGCACUACGCUUAAAAGGCUGCGCCAAUAUUGUUAAAAACAAUAAAGGAAUGGAGUAGUCUCUGAGCAAUUGUGCGGAAAUGAAAUGCCGAGUUAAGCUCGGCGGCGGCCAGACAACCGUUGAGAUGGAUCCACAGAUCAGCGCCGCCGUUUCUACGGUGCUUGUCUACUAAAUCCAUAUCAAAUUC